GCCACAUCAUGUUGAAAUACCAGUUCUCAUACGAUCACUGAAGUUAAGUAAUGUUUAGCCUGGUCAGUACCUAGAUGAGUGACUGCUUGUGAAUACCAGGUGCUGUAA